UCAUUCAAUAAGCGGAGGAAAAGAAACUAACAAGGAUUCCCCUAGUAACGGCGAGUGAAGCGGGAAGAGCUCAAAUUUGAAAUCUGGUAGCCUUCGGCUGCCCGAGUUGUAAUCUAGAGAAGUGUUUUCCGUGCCGGCCCAUGUACAAGUCCCUUGGAACAGGGCGUCAUAGAGGGUGAGAAUCCCGUCCUUGACAUGGACCCCCGGUGCUUUGUGAUACACUUUCAACGAGUCGAGUUGUUUGGGAAUGCAGCUCAAAAUGGGUGGUGAAUUCCAUCUAAAGCUAAAUAUUGGCGAGAGACCGAUAGCGAACAAGUACCGUGAGGGAAAGAUGAAAAGCACUUUGGAAAGAGAGUUAAACAGUACGUGAAAUUGUUGAAAGGGAAACGAUUGAAGUCAGUCAUGCUCUUUGGAUUCAGCCGUUCUGCGGUGUAUUUCCAUUGAGUGGGGUCAACAUCAGUUUUGAUCGCUGGAUAAAGGCACUAGGAAGGUAGCACUCUCGGGUGAACUUAUAGCCUAGCGUCAUAUACAGUGAUUGGGACUGAGGAACGCAGCAUGCCUUUAUGGCCGGGAUUCGUCCACGUACAUGCUUAGGAUG
rnacentral:rRNA from 1 species